rnacentral:tRNA from 1 species
UAAGGCACUGGUCUUGAAAACCAGCGACGGUGAGAGCCGUCCGUGGGUUCGAAUCCCACCGCUUCCGCCA